CGCGUAGGCGGUUCGUACAGUCAGACGUGAAAUUCCUGGGCUCAACCUGGGGGCUGCGUUUGAUACGUGCGGGCUUGAGUUCGGAAGAGGGUCGUGGAAUUCCCAGUGUAGAGGUGAAAUUCGUAGAUAUUGGGAAGAACACCGGUGGCGAAGGCGGCGACCUGGUCCGAUACUGACGCUGAGGCGCGAAAGCGUGGGGAGCAAACAGGAUUAGAUACCCUGGUAGUCCACGCUGUAAACGAUGUGCGCUGGAUGUUGGGUGACCUAGUCACUCAGUGUCGUAGCUAACGCGAUAAGCGCACCGCCUGGGGAGUACGGCCGCAAGGUUGAA
rnacentral:rRNA from 1 species